CAAACAAAUACAAACCCAAACUCUUGUGCACCUUUUCAACACAACCAAACACAUACCCAUAUGUUCCCAUACAUCAUACCUAUGUGGACCCUCUCAAUCUCCUCUAGUCCACUCACAAACAAACAUACACACCCAUAAGACGUAGAGUCCCAAUACUCCUAUGGGGUCUCUAUCCCACAAAACCCUACAACUCUCUUACAUCUUUUUCUCAUACCUAACCCUGUAGAGACUUCACAUAUUUAUAACCAUACAAACUUGCCCAUUAAGAAUCUCUCUCCUCUUAGAAUUCUUCUCCUGUAAGUCAAACUUGCCUAUUAAGAAUCCCUUUCCUUUUAGAAUUCUUCUCUUGCAAGUCAAACUUACCAAUUAAGAAUCCUUUUCUCUUGAAAUUCUUUUUUUGCAAGUCUUCUUGUCCAUCAAGCAAUAUCUGACAAAUCUCAAACAAAUCUCUAACAAAUCCCAAACAAAUCUCUUAUGAGAUUUGAGUCAUUAUUCCCAACAAUCUUCACCUUGACUCAAAUUCCAUCAAUCAUUUGUCUUCAUGCUAGACAUGCUUGGCUCCACCUACAAUGGAAGUCUCACAAUCAUAUUCUCUUCUCUUGUGUCUUCACGCUUCAUACAAACCAAUCCUCAAUCUUCAAAACUCGAACUCGAACUCUUCUCUCGAAUCGAGCUCUUCUGAACUUGCUUCUUUUCAUGUCUCAAAUCAUGCACUUCCCAAACCUUUAGCUUUUCCCACAUCUCGAACUUUCAGCUCUUUCACAUCUCGAACCUUCGGCUCUUUUCACAUCUUGAAUCUUCAACUCUUUUCACGUUUCGAACCUUCAGCUCUGAUACCAUUUGUUGGGGAUCACCACAGCUCUGAUACCAUUUGUUGGACUAAAAGCCUCCAAUCCAAUCACACCAGCGGAAACGAAAUCAAACAAUAAAUCAAACACACAAGAGACAACAAUUUAACGUGGUUCGAUCCAACUGACCUACAUCCACGGAUGAGAAACAAGAUCCACUAGUUGUAGAGAAUUACAAACAUACAUCAUAUCAUCAUCCCCACUCAACAAUCAAUACUCAUAAGACACUUUCAAUCUCCUCUAGUCCUAUGAAGUAUUCUCUACCCAAACAAAUACAAAUCCAAACUCUUGUGCACAUUUUCAACACAACCAAACAUAUACCCAUAUGUUCCCAUACAUCAUAUCUAUGUGGACCCUCUCAAUCUCCUCUAGUCCACUCACAAACAAACAUACACACCCAUAAGACGUAGAGCCCCAAUACUCCUAUGGGGUGUCUAUCCUACAAAACCCUACAACUCUCUUACAUCUUUUUCUCAUACCUAACCCUGUAGAGACUUCACCUAUUUAUAACCAUACAAACUUACCCAUUAAGAAUCCCUCUCCUCUUAGAAUUCUUCUCCUGUAAGUCAAACUUGCCUAUUAAGAAUCCCUUUCCUUUUAGAAUUCUUCUCUUGCAAGUCAAACUUACCAAUUAAGAAUCCUC
rnacentral:lncRNA from 1 species